CCUACGGGAGGCAGCAGUGAGGAAUAUUGGUCAAUGGACGAGAGUCUGAACCAGCCAAGUAGCGUGAAGGAUGACUGCCCUAUGGGUUGUAAACUUCUUUUAUAUGGGAAUAAAACGUGCAAAGUGUGGGAUUUUGUAUGGACCAUAUGAAUAAGGAACGGCUCACCCCGUGCCAGCAGCCGCGGUAAUACGGGGGAUCCGAGCGUUCAGCGGUUUUAGUGGGUUUAAAGGGAGCGUAGGUGGAUUGUUAAGGCAGUUGUGAAAGUUUGCGGCUCAACCGUAAAAUUGCAGUUGAAACUGGCAGUCUUGAGUACAGUAGAGGUGGGCGGAAUUCGUGGUGUAGCGGUGAAAUGCUUAGAUAUCACGAAGAACUCCGAUUGCGAAGGCAGUUCACUGGACUGCAACUGACACUGAGGCUCGAAAGUGUGGGUAUCAAACAGGAUUAGAUACCCCAGUAGUC
rnacentral:rRNA from 1 species